rnacentral:misc_RNA from 1 species
AACGCACAUUGCGCCCGCUAGUAUUCUAGCGGGCAUGCCUGUCCGAGCGUCAUUCUCACCCCUCAAGCGCUGUUUUCGCUUGGCGUUGGGGCUCUUGCAGCGGGCGGCUUACCGCUCUGCAAGCCCUGAAAUUCAGCGGCGGACCCGUUAGCACACCGAGCGCAGUAAACUUUGCUUCUCGCUCCGGGCGCGCGGCGGGCUUCCAGCCGGCAACCAAACCCCUUCUGAAGUUGACCUCGGAUCAGGUAGGACUACCCGCUGAACUUAA